rnacentral:lncRNA from 1 species
GAAAACCAAAGCCUUCAUCUGUAGCAGUAUAAAUACUCUCGGCGUGGCCAACUUCAGGUUACCAACACAAGAUCAUGCAGCUUGCAAAUUUCCUGAAAAAUUAACAAUUGGCUCUUAGGAGCCCACCUGACCCAGCUCCAGCAUGCCGCUGCAUCGAGGAGAGUGCCUUCUCGGAAUGGCAGAUACUAGAACAUACUGGAGGCUUCAUUUUGAUGUGAAUUGGAGUUCAAACUUGGCUCGAUUGUAGACUGAGCUCUGAGAAUGAAACGGCGUCGCCACACAAAGGCCGUCACAGAGAACCCAGACAAACACAAGAGAUUGCUACCAAAACACAAAAAGACCCCUCUCUGCCACUGCUGCACCGAUGAGGCAGCUCCUUGAAGAUACGGACCACAUCUUGGUCAUCCUCUGUAUCCAUAGCAGCUGGCGGAAUAACUGGCAGAAAUGCACAAACUCAAUAAACAGAUCUAUCCCUGGGCCUGAAUUUCCCCCGAAGUUCUGGUGGCAUGGAUCCAAACAGCCUGCAAGCCUGUCCCCUUGGAGGGCUUGCCCUUACCUCACCAAAUGCUCUGUGUUUGUUUAUUCGCUCAACAAAUAUGCAUGGAAUGCCACCAGGUGCCAAAUCUUUUCCCAGGACCCACGGUUUUCAGCUAAAUUAGACACAGUUCAACCCUCAAGGAGCCCCCCGUUCAGGGGGAGAGAUGGAUUAUGCAAUGAUGCUGUGGCACGGGAUGUGCUAGAUUCCAGGGGCCUGGGAGGUGGAAUAGUCCAGGCUGUGCUCUCAAAGAGAGGAAAAGCAACCCAGGGACGAUGAAAAAUGCCACGUCCAAGCUGCAGAGGGCCUGGCCGUGUCAGAGGGCCGCCUGGCCUGGGGGUCCACCGCGCUGCAGGCAGAAAGUGAAGCAAUCGCAGCCUGGGAGGCCGACGGCAGGGGAGGGAACAUUCCACCAGGGCAAAGCUGGCGAGGGCUUUGGGCCCAUCCAAGAUCCAGCUCUCAUGAAAUGCAGGAAGUGUGAUGAAGAACCCCGGGCGCCUCGAGGCCUCCCACCCUGGCUUGGGAAAGGGAAGAAAGCGAGUUAGGGGAAGGUUUCGUGGGCUACAUUCCCCUGGCUUCUCAGUGAGCACACGGUGGUGUCUGCAUUUCUGCUUAAGUCAACAUUGUCACAAGACUCAGC